GUCCCUUCAGGGACAUCCGAUAAAGUUGGAACGAUAUAGAGAAGAUUAGCAUAACUCCUGUGCAAGGUUGACACGCACAAAUCAAGAAAUGGUCCAAUUUUUU